GAUGAAGAACGCAGCGAAAUGCGAUAAGUAAUGUGAAUUGCAGAAUUCAGUGAAUCAUCGAAUCUUUGAACGCACCUUGCGCCCUUUGGCCAUUCCGAAGGGCAUGCCUGUUUGAGUAUCAUGAACACCUCAACUCUUUAUGGUUUUCCAUGAUGAGCUUGGACUCUGGGGGUUUUGCUGGCUCACAGUCGGCUCCUCUAAAAUAAAUCAGCUUACCAGUGUUUGGUGGGUAUCAUGGGUGUGAUAACUAUCUACGCUUGUGGUUUUUCCACCAGGUAACCUUCAGCAGUGGAGGUUCGCUGGAGCUCAUAGACGUCUCUCCUCAGUGAGGACGGCCCUUUGAACGUUUGAUCUCAAAUCAGGUAGGACUACCCGCUGAACUUAAGCAUAUCAAUAAGCGGAGGA
rnacentral:misc_RNA from 1 species